CCUACGGGUGGCAGCAGUGAGGAAUAUUGGUCAAUGGACGCGAGUCUGAACCAGCCAAGUAGCGUGAAGGAUGACUGCCCUAUGGGUUGUAAACUUCUUUUAUAUAGGAAUAAAGUUCUGUAUGUGUGCUUUUUUGUAUGUACCAUAUGAAUAAGGAUCGGCUAACUCCGUGCCAGCAGCCGCGGUAAUACGGAGGAUCCGAGCGUUAUCCGGAUUUAUUGGGUUUAAAGGGAGCGUAGUUGGAUGCUUAAGUCAGUUGUGAAAGUUUGCGGCUCAACCGUAAAAUUGCAGUUGAUACUGGCAGUCUUGAGUACAGCUGAGGUAGGCGGAAUUCGUGGUGUAGCGGUGAAAUGCUUAGAUAUCACGAAGAACUCCGAUUGCGAAGGCAGCUUACUGGACUGCCACUGACAUUGAUGCUCGAAAGUGUGGGUAUCAAACAGGAUUAGAUACCCGGGUAGUC
rnacentral:rRNA from 1 species